GUUAUGACAAUAUUCUCAGACAUGGAUCAGCACUCAUUCUUCCCUCUCUGCCUCAACUGCAGGAACGCAUGUCAAACCGCACUGUGCUGCCACAGUCUUCUUAUCAGUCUCCCACCCCUCCACAUUUGCAUCAGCCCCACUGUCCUUUCCAAAAGUCCCCUUUGCAGACUCCUGGAUCACUACUCUGUCUAUCCUUCUAUAUCAUCAUUGUGUGCUGGCUACACAACCAGUCAUUUUUCCAUGCUGUUCUGUCCCUAUUCGCUUUGGAAUGUAGCAUCUGUUGAAUUCAUGCCUCAUGAAGCAUGAAGAGUUCCAUUUUAACAUCCCGUUACACGUACAUUGUCUCAUUUAAACUCCAUACGUGCCCUGUGAGCUGUAUUAACUCUUACUUCAUUGGUAAGAAACAUAAAUUUCAGAGAGGUUAACAGGGCCAUAUAUGUAAUAAGCCAGAACAUAGGAGGAAAAGGGCUCCGUCUGUCUUACCACUUCUGCAUCACUGAACAUACAGCAGUAAAUGGCACAUAGGAUAUGCUUGAGUUUUUUCCUGUAUAAAUAAAUAAUAUGAGAAUUUACAAAUCAGUUGCUCUUUACUCUAUUCCAGGGUUUCUCAGUCUUGGCACUGUUGAUAUUUGGGACCAGACAACUCUUCACUGUGGGGGCCUGCCCUGUGCUUUAGAGAAUGAUUAUCAACAUCCCUGGCCUCAACCCAUGAGACGUCAAUCUCAGCCCUUGUAAUCAGGCAUAUCUCCGAGACUAGUUAGAGUAAAUGAAAUUGUUUAGAUAUAAUGGGAACUACUUCAAAGCCUGGCACAUAAAAACUUUCUAUGUAUGAUUCUUCCUUCUCUUUUACCCACAGAUUGGAUGAUAUGGAGAUGAACACCAGGACUAUUUUAGAAACUGCAUGUUGCAGACCACUGAGAUAUAAAACUUAGAAACAAAAAUUGGUCCUGAGUCAGUGCCUUGAAGACAGUUCCACAGAGAACAAUUCAAUAAUGAGAACAUCCUUGAGGAUCACAGAGUCCAGAGUCCCCAGAGAGAGAGACAGGAAUCAUGUCUUGUAGAUGAGAAGAACAAUCCAAUAACGAGAACAUCCUUGAGGAUCACAGAGUCCAGAGUCCCAGAGAGAGACAGAGCAAUCAUGGCUUGUAGAUGGAGCAGCCAUAUUUCACAUAGAGAUUUUCCCAUCAACCCUGUCCUGUUUUGAAGACUAUACGAAACAGAGGUGAGGCUGAACUACGAUAUGUAAGUAGCAUGACUGAAAAAUACAUCUUGUUUAUUCUGAAGUUGUUGGUACAAUAUAAUUUAGCCUGACAGAUACAUCACACUGCCUAAUAAACUAUUUAG